rnacentral:ncRNA from 1 species
AGACAGCACUACGGGCGCUGACUGCUGGCUUACGGUCAUCUCAUCCACCUUCUUGCAAAACGAGAAGCGUGAACAGAGGUGGCUGAAGCCAAGCACGAUGCUGAGAUUGAACCGUUUGCACCCGAUCAACUUAAUGGUUGCGUGGGAAAUGUGCUGCCGCUUCAAC